ACGCUGGCGGCAGGCCUAACACAUGCAAGUCGAACGAACCUUUCGGGGUUAGUGGCGGCCGGGUGAGUAACACGUGGGAACGUGCCUUUAGGUUCGGAAUAACUCAGGGAAACUUGUGCUAAUACCGAAUGUGCCCUUCGGGGGAAAGAUUUAUCGCCUUUAGAGCGGCCCGCGUCUGAUUAGCUAGUUGGUUGAGGUAAUGGCUCACCAAGGCGACGAUCAGAAGCUGGUCUGAGAGGAUGAUCAGCCACAUUGGGACUGAGACACGGCCCAAACUCCUACGGGAGGCAGCAGUGGGGAAUCUUGCGCAAUGGGCGAAAGCCUGACGCAGCCAUGCCGCGUGAAUGAUGAAGGUCUUAGGAUUGUAAAAUUCUUUCACCGGGGACGAUAAUGACGGUACCCGGAGAAGAAGCCCCGGCUAACUUCGUG
rnacentral:rRNA from 1 species